UACAGAGGGUGCGAGCGUUACUCGGAAUUACUGGGCGUAAAGCGCACGUAGGUGGCGACGUAAGUCGGGUGUGAAAGCCCCGGGCUCAACCUGGGAAUUGCGUUGGAGACUGCAAGGCUAGAAUCUGGCAGAGGGGGGUAGAAUUCCACGUGUAGCAGUGAAAUGCGUAGAUAUGUGGAGGAACACCGAUGGCGAAGGCAGCCCCCUGGGUCAAGAUUGACGCUCAUGCACGAAAGCGUGGGGAGCAAACAGG
rnacentral:rRNA from 1 species